rnacentral:rRNA from 1 species
GACGUAGGGCGCGAGCGUUGUCCGGAUUUAUUGGGCGUAAAGAGCUCGUAGGCGGCUUGUCGCGUCGACCGUGAAAACUUGGAGCUCAACCCCAAGCCUGCGGUCGAUACGGGCAGGCUCGAGUUCGGUAGGGGAGACUGGAAUUCCUGGUGUAGCGGUGAAAUGCGCAGAUAUCAGGAGGAACACCGAUGGCGAAGGCAGGUCUCUGGGCCGAUACUGACGCUGAGGAGCGAAAGCGUGGGGAGCGAACAGG